rnacentral:rRNA from 1 species
CCUACGGGAGGCAGCAGUGAGGAAUAUUGGUCAAUGGUCGGGAGACUGAACCAGCCAAGCCGCGUGAGGGAGGAAGGUACAGAGUAUCGUAAACCUCUUUUGUCAGGGAACAAAGGCGGGGACGUGUCCCCGGCUGAGUGUACCUGAAGAAAAAGCAUCGGCUAACUCCGUGCCAGCAGCCGCGGUAAUACGGAGGAUGCGAGCGUUAUCCGGAUUUAUUGGGUUUAAAGGGUGCGCAGGCGGUCUGUUAAGUCAGUGGUCAAAGCCCGGGGCUCAACCCCGGACCGCCGUUGAAACUGGCAGUCUCGAGUUGGAGAGAAGUAUGCGGAAUGCGCGGUGUAGCGGUGAAAUGCAUAGAUAUCGCGCAGAACUCCGAUUGCGAAGGCAGCAUGCCGGCUCCACACUGACGCUGAGGCACGAAAGCGUGGGUAUCGAACAGGAUUAGAUACCCUGGUAGUC